UGCUCCGGGGCCGGGGCCUGUGUCCGUAAGCAGCCGUGCCGCCCGCCAGAAUAGCUGCCUGCCUCAGCAGUUCAGGGCUUACGUGACGAAAGGGGACCAGCUUACUGCUCCAUUACAUGCAGUGAUAUUGCUGAAGAAGGUGCUUAGUCAAGGUUUGAUUUGCUGCCUCUUCGCUUUGGCAACCCUCGGAACAGCCUGCCUUUCAAAUUUCUGUGAAUGCAGAUACCACCAGUAAUGUCCAGGUUUGAGAGGAGAAAGGAAAACAUUGUCUUUUCUUGCUUCUUCUGUGUGGUCUUCCCUACAGUCUGUCCAAUCUUCUUUUGCUUCUAGUCAAAACCCGACCACUUUUUUAUGGCAGUAAUCAACCCACAUGCACAUACAGUGAAAUUCCUUCUUUAGGUAAAAUUGUUCUUACUUUUAUAUUCAGAAUAAUUCCUAAUUCAACCUUCAUUUACCAGGUGUAAGCAAUUUCCCCAUAAUCAAAGCUAAGCUACCCUCCUCCCAC
rnacentral:lncRNA from 1 species